AGGAAUAUUGGGCAAUGCCCGCAAGGGUGACCCAGCAACGCCGCGUGGAGGAUGAAUGUCGUAAGAUUGUAAACUCCUGUUAGAGGGGAAGAAUAGUACCGGUUGGACCGGUAUAUGACUGUACCCUCAGAGAAAGCCCCGGCUAACUACGUGCCAGCAGCCGCGGUAAUACGUAGGGGGCAAGCGUUGUCCGGAUUUCCUGGGUGUAAAGGGCGCGCAGGCGGGAUAAAAAGUCAGUGGUGAAAUCCUACAGCUUAACUGUAGAACUGCCUUUGAUACUUUUAUUCUUGAGUUCGGGAGAGAGAGACGGAAUUCCAGGUGUAGUGGUGAAAUACGUAGAUAUCUGGAAGAACACCAGUUGCGAAGGCGGUCUCUUGGUCCGACACUGACGCUGAGGCGCGAAAGCGUGGGAAGCAAACA
rnacentral:rRNA from 1 species